UGGACCCGGCGCCUUGCCCCCAGAUCUGCAUCGGAAUGCAGAAAAGAUCUUUUAAAAAAAAAAAAAAAAAAAAAGUUUUGAAUUCCUCAAUGAUUUUUCUUCUGGAAAGGCAGCUUAGGAUAAUUAUUUCAGCUUUAUUGAGGGCAGAUUAGUUGAAGUCUGGGCGCUGCGUUUCAAUACGCGUUGUACACGGGCCGACAAUGUGG
rnacentral:lncRNA from 1 species